GGAUUUUCAAGUUUAGGUUUAGGUUUAGGUUAGGGAGUUAAGAUUAGGAUUAGGUGUAGGUUUAGGUUUAGGGAUUUGAGAAUACAUUUAGGUUUUAGGUUUAGGUUUAGGUUUUAGGUUUAGGUUAUAGGUUAUAGCUUUAGGGAAUUGAGAAUAGAUUAAGGUUAAGGUUUAGGUUUAGGUUAUAGG